rnacentral:sRNA from 1 species
UUAAUGUUGGAAUAAGACUACAACUUAAUUUGAAGAGAGAACUCCUAUUUAACAGCAUUUGUCCUAAGCUGAAAUGGACAAAAUAAGAUAGUUCCCUACCAAAAACCCUACCAAGAAUAAUUUUUGGUAGGGAAUUUUGU